rnacentral:lncRNA from 1 species
CAUCACCGAGUCCCGGGCCGCCGCAGUCGCCUCGUCGCACGACUCGAGAACUCCCGCGCGGCCACGGGUCUCGCGAGAGCCGCACGGCCUCCGUCCAGCCUCCGGAGCCUGCCUUCCGCGGGCGGCUGCGGCCGCGCAGCUCGGAGCGGCGGUAGGGGAGCGUGUGCGAGGGAGCCGGGUAACUGGAAAGGGGUCCGAACAGAACCCCAAGUGGCCUCCGCCGUCGAGAACGAGAUAGCUCCCCUAUUGUGUAGGGAGGUCCUACGGUUUUCGGAAGGAAAACGUGUCUUUCACUAGGGAGAAGCCGCUGCGGGCUUGAGGGGAAAGCACGGACGGAAUAACGUGUGUCAAGAUUGAUUAUCUUAGGUGGAGGAGAAAAAAAAUACUGAGGAUCUCAAAAGAUAAAGAGGUUGGACUUAAUCCUACAGCAAAAGAUGUUUGUAAUCCAAUGGACACACAAAAAUGCACUGAGGAAAAAAGUCGCAAAGGUCGCGUGAAAUGCCGGGAAGUUAGACACGAGGCAACGAGAAGAAGACUGUUCUGCAAGGGUUGCGUAACACUUCCACGUCAUGGGGAGAGUGACCUGUGCUAUAGUGAAGUGCACUUAAGGCUUCUUCAGGGAGCGGAUGGGACGAGCCGUGAGGAAGAUCAAAGACAACCCGGGGCCAGAGGGCAGAGUGAUGAGCACACUGGACACCAAACGGAUUAUAAAUCACUUCUAGUCCUUUUAAGUUACUUCUGCCUUUUAUUCUCUCCUACCACUCUUCCUUCCACUUGCCUCUUUUCUCUCUCCCCCCACCCUUCCAUUUUCCGCUCAAUCUCUCUGUCAUCCCUUUCCUUUGAGCGCCAAAGUGAAGAAGAAAUAUAUUAUGUGAUCAAAGAACUUCCAGAGGACGCUUGCAUAUUCCCUGUUAGGUUGUAGGUGCUUUAUGAAAUUUUAUCUUUUACGAACAAAACAACCUAAACCUAGCAUCCUGAGGACAAACGAUAGGGCAGGUUUUGUAAAUUUCUUUUGCUUGAUAUCAACCAAAUUUUGGUUGAAUCCAUUUUCUAAAAUCCUUUGUCCUAUUUUAUUAAUUCCCAGGGCACACAGUGGAAGCAUUAACAGCAUCUUGUUAAUCAGUAUAUACACAUCAAAACAAAUUAAGGAAACAGGAAGGAUAUCUCUUAACAUUUCUUAAAGAGCUGACUCAUGUUAUAGUUUAGUCUACUCUGAUUUUCAUGAGACUUUUGUUCAUUCUUAUUGCAAAUAUAAAGUACCCACCAUGAACAAAGAAUUUUGCUCAAAUUGUAAAUGGUGCAGAAAUAAAUAGGACACAGUCCCUGUUUUCA